UUGGUGCUUCAUCCCAUAUAAUCAUUUUUGCUUUUCUAAUCAAUUUGGCAGCACCACUUUGCUUUGACAUGUUUGUCAUAGUUGAUUCAUUUGUUUGAAGGGGGAUCUCAAACCUCGAGUGUGCUGUACGUCCUCCUGGUAAGAUUGAAGCUGCUACGCCACUGGUUGCUGUUGCCAAACCUAUCAUACCUCUUGAUCUAACAUUGGCAAGCAAUGCACGGUAUAAAUGUAGUUGAAGGUUGAUGACUGCAGGUUGCAUUUCAGUCAAGUUGAAUUCAUAUAUUCUCCACAGUGCUUCAGGCGGUGAGACCCACCGCGCAUCUUGGAAUGUUUGUAUUUCAUCAAUAACAUUUUCACCAUCAUCAGAUUGAACAUAAACGGCACACCGAUCAUGACCUUUAUAUAUAUACUUGUAUAGAUACUUUAUUGCUUUGACUCCUGAGCAGACCUCAACAUUAAUGUGACAAUUGUAUCUUGUAAGCAGAUAAGGGCUAUAAGGUACCACC